CACUUCUAAGGAAGGCAGCAGGCGCGCAAAUUACCCAAUCCUGACUCAGGGAGGUAGUGACAAGAAAUAACAAUAAACCGGCUUAUGCCGGUUUAAUUGGAAUGAGUACAAUUUAAACAUCUUAACGAGGAACAAUUGGAGGGCAAGUCUGGUGCCAGCAGCCGCGGUAAUUCCAGCUCCAAUAGCGUAUACUAAAGUUGUUGCAGUUAAAAAGCUCGUAGUUGGAUUUCUGUGGGGACGGAGCGGCCGGCCGCAACACGCGGUUCGAGCUAGCGCUUUCCCUACAUCCUGCCGCGAACCGUGCUACCAUUAGUUUGGUGGCGCCGGGGAUCGGCUCGAUUACUUUGAGAAAAAUAGAGUGUUCAAAGCAGGCCACACGCCUUGAAUAAGUUAGCAUGGAAUAAUAACUAAGGACUUCGGUUCUAUUUUGUUGGUGUUCGGGACUGAAGUAAUGAUUGAUAGGGACAGUUGGGGCGGUCUGUAUUCCAAAGCGAGAGGUGAAAUUCUUAGACCUUCGGAAGACAAACAGCUGCGAAAGCGUUCCGCGAGGAUGUUCCCUUUGAUCAAGAACGAAAGUUGGGGGAUCGAAGACGAUCAGAUACCGUCGUAGUCUCAACUAUAAACUAUACCAGCUAGGGAUCGGCCAACGUUAUUCUAUACCGACUUGGUCGGCACCUUAUGAGAAAUCAAAGCAUCUGGGUUCCGGGGGGAGUAUGGUCGCAAGGCUGAAACUUAAAGGAAUUGACGGAAGGGCACCACCAGCCGUGGAGCCUGUGGCUUAAUUUGACUCAACACGGGAAAACUUACCAGGUCCAGACAUAGUAAGGAUUGACAGAUUGAUAGCUCUUUCUUGAUUCUGUGGGUGGUGGUGCAUGGCCGUUCUUAGUUGGUGGAGUGAUUUGUCUGGUUAAUUCCGUUAACGAACGAGACCCCAGCCUGCUAAAUAGCGCGCGUGAGCUUUGCUCGCGGCGAGCUUCUUAGAGGGACUAUGAUGCGCGAUAGCACAUGGAAGUUUGGGGCAAUAACAGGUCUGUGAUGCCCUUAGAUGUUCUGGGCCGCACACGGGCUACACUGGCGCCUGCAACGAGCAUAUCAGCUGGCCCGAGAGGGUCUUGGCUAAUCUUUUGAACCGGCGCCGUGCUUGGGAUUGACCUUUGCAAUUGUUGGUCAUGCAACGAGGAAUGCCUUGUAAACGCGAGUCAUCAGCUCGCAUUGAAUACGUCCCUGCCCUUUGUACACACCGCCCGUCGCUCCUACCGAUGAAUGUUCCGAUGAAAUUUUCGGAGAGUGCCUGUGAACUUGGCUCUGCCUUGCGAACGGGAAGCUCAAAGUCACUUAAAUCUGAACAUUUCGAGG
rnacentral:rRNA from 1 species